CCUACGGGAGGCAGCAGUGAGGAAUAUUGGUCAAUGGGCGAGAGCCUGAACCAGCCAAGUCGCGUGAAGGAUGACUGCUCUACGGGUUGUAAACUUCUUUUAUAAUGGAAUAAAGUGAGGCAAGUGUGCCUUUUUGUAUGUACUUUCUGAAUAAGGAUCGGCUAACUCCGUGCCAGCAGCCGCGGUAAUACGGAGGUUGCGAGCGUUAUCCGGAUUUAAUGGGUUUAAAGGGAGCGUAGGUGGGUAGUUAAGUCAGUUGUGAAAGUUUGCGGCUCAACCGGAAAAUUGCAAUUGAUACUGGGUGUCUUGAGUACAGUUGAGGUAGGCGGAAUUCGGGGUGUAGCGGUGAAAUGCGUAGAUAUCACGAAGAACUCCGAUUGCGAAGGCAGCUUACUAAACUGUCACUGACACUGAUGCUCGAAAGUGUGGGGAUCAAACAGGAUUAGAUACCCGAGUAGUC
rnacentral:rRNA from 1 species